rnacentral:rRNA from 1 species
UUAGCAUGGGAUAAUGAAAUAGGACUUUGGUGCUAUUUUGUUGGUUUCGAACACCGAAGUAAUGAUUAACAGGGACAGUCAGGGGCACUCGUAUUCCGCAGAGAGAGGUGAAAUUCUCAGACCCGCGGAAGACGAACCACUGCGAAAGCAUUUGCCAGGGAUGUUUUCACUGAUCAAGAACGAAAGUUAGGGGAUCGAAGACGAUCAGAUACCGUCGUAGUCUUAACCAUAAACCAUGCCGACUAGGGAUCGGCGGAG